rnacentral:rRNA from 1 species
GGGGAAUAUUGCACAAUGGGCGCAAGCCUGAUGCAGCCAUGCCGCGUGUAUGAAGAAGGCCUUCGGGUUGUAAAGUACUUUCAGCGGGGAGGAAGGGAGUAAGGUUAAUAACCUUAUUCAUUGACGUUACCCGCAGAAGAAGCACCGGCUAACUCCGUGCCAGCAGCCGCGGUAAUACGGAGGGUGCAAGCGUUAAUCGGAAUUACUGGGCGUAAAGCGCACGCAGGCGGUCUGUCAAGUCGGAUGUGAAAUCCCCGGGCUCAACCUGGGAACUGCAUUCGAAACUGGCAGGCUGGAGUCUUGUAGAGGGGGGUAGAAUUCCAGGUGUAGCGGUGAAAUGCGUAGAGAUCUGGAGGAAUACCGGUGGCGAAGGCGGCCCCCUGGACAAAGACUGACGCUCAGGGGCGAAAGCGUGGGGAGCAAAC